UCUCUCUCUCUCUCCCCCCCCCCCCCCGCCCUCACACGCGUUGCAUGCGUCCGUCCCCGCGCCGGCGGGCGGCCGCCUGGCUGCUGGCGCUGCCGUCGGGGCGCGGCGGGGAGGAGUGCGCGCGGCGCGGCCGCCUGGAGAUGAUCUCGUUCUGGCUGCUGUGCUGGAAGCUGCUGAGAGCAACAGCUGGGCUAAGGCGGACGCCAGCUGAGCUAACGGAUGGUAACCCCGACAACGAUAACUAUAACGACUCCGCCCGUCCAGGACAGUCAUCAGAUCCAGUUACCAUGGAGAGCAGUUCAUCUCCACCGGCAACACACACGGAUAGUGAAAACUCGGGGCAAAGCCUUUGGGGCGACCAGGAAGCGGAGGAGCACCAUUACACAGAGGUCCAUGGGCUGAAGCAGCCAAUCGGGGACGAGCAGGACGAAGAAGAGGCUGCAGGGAAAGAAAAUGUCGUCAGGGAUGCAGAUGAGUGUGAUUACCUUGUGUUUGCAAUCGGAGAGCGAAAUGGGAAUGAUAAAGGAGAUGAAAGUGGACAGGACACGGGUAGAGGAGGAGAUAAGGUAGAAGAUGGAGAAAGAGGGGAAACAGAAGGAAAGGAAGAAGGAAGUGGAGCUACAGUGAGGGAAGAUGGAGGAAGAGGAGGUGAAAAAGAAGAGGAUGAAUGCAUAGGAGAGACAGUGGGCGAGAUGAGUAAUGAUGCUCCGUCAAAGCUCCUCCUCAUCUCUUGCAGCCCGGAGCGUCUUUCAUCAUCAGAGCCCCUGAUGGUCCCCUCAUGUCCCUCAGAGCAGCCCAUGGAGGCCAUGUUGCAAGAGGCCUUAGGUCACAACAUUGGCGAAAGAGAUGACCUCAGUGACGUCCAGCACACAGGCUUCCCCCAAGCUGAGGUGGCUAGUGUGUACUCGGACAGCGACGCAGGGGACGGCCAGUGGGCUAGCUUUGCACGCUGUGAUGUCACCAACCAGGAAGAAGCAGGCGGAGGAAUUCACAAUACCACCUGUGAAGGAGAGAGCAAGGAAGAGGAGGGAGGAGGAGCCGAUAAGGGGAGAGCCGAAGAACAGUUUGAGGCAGAAGAAGCGAGUGAAACACAGGACCAAAGGGAGGAGGAGGAGGAGGAGGAGGAGGGGAGCAGACACGUGGAUGAUGAAGAGCAGAUGACGUCCAGGAGAGAUCUAUUUCCACGCACACCUUCUGUCAGCUCCACGGGCAGCUCCACAGAGCCUGACAGAAAGGCUCCCGUGGAUCUCUGUGUCCAAGAAGAGGCCCACAGUGGAAACGUCUCCACUGAGCAUGUGGACUUUCUGUUGGCCCGACAGCAGUGGAGGAAGAUGGAGGAGGAGGUCAAAGGUCAGCCAAUCCCCAAACCAGGCCUCAGAGCUCAGGGGAGCUUCCAGGGCACCCACAGCUCCCUGUACCCGCCCACUCGCAGCCCCCGACUCAAACACAGGGAGAUCCAUCCUGCAGCGGCCAUGGAGCCCACGCUGUCCUCCACCCUGUCCUCCACCCUGUCCCCCGGCUCGGAGGACUCGGGCCUGGAGGAGCCGGAGAGUGCAGUGGAGAGAGAGAUCCGCCGGACUCUGGAGAGGGAGGAAUGCCACCGGAGAGAGAGGGGGGGGGUCACACAGGGCCUCACCGUACCCAGAGCCUCCACCGGGCAGAGCGGACGAUCUCCCCCCAGACCUCCAGCGUGCCGCACCCCUACACUGUCCAUCUCCCCUUCUCCUUCCUCUUCUCUUCCCCGAUCUGUCUACCAUGAGAUGACGGCCAAUAAUGUCAUUAUCCUGGAGCCCGGCUGCUCCGGCUCCACCUCCAGAAACCUCUUACUCUCCUCCGCCACCGAUUGGCCGCUUAGCCAGGAUGCUGUGCCCUCCGCCAACGUCAUCGUCGUUGAGACCUCUAACGUGAUCAUUCGCAGCGCAUCCGAAUUCUGUCUAAGCUCCGCCCCCGUGUCCGCGGAGACCCAGGAGAGCACCUUCUCGUCCAAUCCGUUCUUUAAGCUACGCUCCAUCAGCAGCCAAUCGCUGGUGGAGCGGGAGAUCCGCAUGGUGAGGCAGAGGGAGGAGGAAUGGAGGAGGCAGCGGGAGGAGAUGUGGAGGAGGAGGAGGGAGGAGGAGUGGAGGAGAGGGAGAGAGAGGUACGACACCGUGCUGGUGUCUCCUGGCCUGAGCGAUAACAUCAGCUACAACGUGCCAGAGGUCCUAGAUAGAUGUGUGUCCUCUCCUUCGUCCCCCUCCAGGACCCGCAAAAUGGAAAGAUCCAGCAUGUCUUGUGACCACAAGUUGGACUGAUUAAUGAUGAAAUCCUUUACAUUUUAACAAACACAUUCUUUCAUCAUUCAUUUUGUCGUCUAACCAUCACUUGCAUUUGUGCGUCUAACGAUUCCUCCAACCAUCCCGUCCUUUGUUUAUUCACUUGGCUCCAUCCAUCCUAUAAUCCAUCCACUCAUCAUGCUCCAGUGGUUCAGCUGAAUCUUCCCCUCCCUCCAGUUCCCCUCAUCCCUCUCUCUGACGCCGAAGCGACCGAACGCCAUGGCGCAGCGAUGGGAGGCCUCCCUAUUAGCCAAUCAGAAGAAGGAGUGACCAUUUCAAAGCCCACAAUGAGAUCCGACGCCUCCGUUCCUUCCUGCUUCUCUCCAGAAAAGUCACACGGUGUACUGUAAGGUCUUUGAAAAGGUGUGGCUUGAACCCGUGGGUCACAGAUGUGCUGUCUGCGGGACGUCCUGUGAGAAGAGGACUGGUCCUGUCCAACAGCUUUGUUUCAAAGAGUAAGGUUUGGCUUUCCUUAAUGCUUGAACGUCUGAAAAGGUCCUGCUUUCAAACUCAAACUGGUCUGCUGCAUGAUCUGUGAAACAUUGGGGCACAAUGCCACACGUAGGACAUUGUUUAUUAUAGAUAAUAACUUCAUUGACUCAUUCACAAUACUAACCGCAGUCAUAGUACCACCACUGUUUUUGACAUGUCAUGCAGACUUCUAUGUAAACUUUAGAAACACAAUAUUUAUUAUUACCAGUAACACAAUUUGAUUUCGAGCUAUUUAUAAAUGAUGGCAAACAGAUAUGCAUUGAGUUGUAUGACUAUGAAAAAGGUCUUGGCAGUUGCAUUUUAAUUUUAGAUAAAGUAUGAAUUUAGUCCCUAUAUUUUUGAUGUGAUGAACAUAUACAGCGUAUAUUUUACCGUAUUGUAGCUGCGUAGGGGUUUGAGAAGUGACAUUCAAAAAUGAUUUAGCAUGUUCUUUACAAAUGACAAUUCAUAGCAUUUAAGUGCCAACUCAGACUGAAAAAAUCACUGCCUUAAGCCGCUGAGAACAGCACACACACACACACACACACACACACACACACAGAAAGACAAAAAAUGAAUCCAUCAUCCAUUUCGCACAUCAUCUCUUUUCCACAAAGGCAAAACACGUAUUCAAGUAUAAAAAAACUGUCCUAUUUUAUGGAAAAUCAUUUUUUAUGGAAAUGUAAGAAUGGAAACUGGCACAUUCUUUCCCCUUGUUAUGACCCGCCCUACUCCGCCUCUGAUUGGCUGCUCAUCGUGGCCUUUGGUUUGGUUGUGAGAUGAUGAAAAACGGUAGAGCCACAGGGACGGAGCCGGUGGCUCAAUUAGCUUACAGCUAACGGAGGUAUAGUUACUUUGUUACUUUAGCGGUAUUUCAAAAUUAUAUAAUUAACUCGAGUAUUCACAUGGCUUUAAAAAAAGCUGUCAAUUCCACAUUUGUAGCCCAAAGGUUUUAUGCGUGGAGCACACUGUUGUUAUUGCUAUAUAACUGUCCGUGGCUGUGAUGUUCAAGCAAUAUAACUGAAGCACUUCUAAAACAGAGAUUCUAAUCCAGUCUAGUGAAGACUUUUACAUAUUUUAUGUCAUGUUUUGAUUCCUAAAAAGAGAAUUGUUUUAUUGAAUUUGUGCUGCAUAUAUUUAUUGAAUCGGGACAAGCUUAUGAAUCCUUAAAGCUUUUAUUUCUAAAAGGUUCAUAAUAUAUUGUGUCAGAAUGGCUGCAUGAAUUGAAGGUCUGCGAUGUUUUUUAGAUGGAUCUUUUCUGUGGAGUGUGUGUGCGUGAUAAUAAUAAUAAUCCAUCCUCAAUACAUCGUACAUAAAUAGAAAUCCUUCCUCCUUAUUUUGUAGCUCCAGAAGGAGCUCACUGGGUUCCUGAUGAACUCAACUGUCUAUUACAGGUGCAUUCAAGUCAACUCAGAAAUAAGAGACUUCACCUGCCAGGUUGCGAAUAAUACCAGGCGAGUAGAAUGCUAGUGGGUUUUUAUGAAUAUAUUCUGAUUGUGCUCUGAGCAUCGAUGUGAUGUAACACUGUGUUAAGGAAUAAACUCUCCAUCCGCUAAUAAAGUGCAUUUCAGCUGUGAGUUCCUGUGCAGCCUGAAGAUGUGUCCAAACAUCUGACGGGGCUACGAUCUAUACUUUCUGCAAUCAAUUUGCAGAGGUUUGGAUGUUCUUGAAAUGUGCUGUAUUGCAUGUGAAAGAAGUCGGUUACAGUGCGUCCACUCUUCACACUGGCUGUUUCUGCCCCAUCUCACCACACCACACCCAGUGGCAAUGUGAGGAAACGGAAAAACUAUAUACUAUAAUAUUGUGUUGGCAGCAGAAGGACAUGAGCAUCAGUAAAUAUUGGCUUUGUGUGUUUUCUUGCACACUCGAGUCACGUCAGAUGGGGUUGGUACGUUGUUACAUUGUUACAUCGUUUCGCUAUUAUUUUCACACAAUCCUUGAACUUGUUAUUCAAGGCCCAUAUUUAACAUCAUUUUGACGUACCAUGCCAGCGUUGUUUGCAUGUCAUGGUGUUGCUGCGUUAGCUUUGCUGUAUGAAGGCACAGUAGAUAUAUAUAUAUAUAUAUAUAUAUAUAUAUAUAUAUACCUGGUCUGCAUCCAGUUUAGUGGGACAGCUGAACUGAUACUUUAUAACUGUAGUUUUAAGAAGGAUGUGCAUUUGUGAAUACACUGUGUGACAGAAUAUUCCGUACGGCUCCUAGAAACAGCUUUUCCUCACGAGCCGAGCAUCAUUUAUUCAGGUUCUGUUCUUUUCUUAGUUUAUUUGCCUUGCGCUUCAUUCAUUUAUUGUUGCCAAAUGAAAGGUCUUGUGAUGACAUCUUCAAUAAAACGUAACUUCUGAAACCCGCAAUGUGGUCACGGCCGGUUUCUCUUUCAGCAACAUGUUGGCGGUCAGACACCAACUUCCUGAAGUUCCUGAAUGCAACACUUUCUACCCGUCACCAUAUAGAGAUGUGUGAAGCUUAACGGGAUCACUUUCCAGCAUCUUUAUAGAAAUGACAAAUCAUUUGAAUACAGAGGCAAAGCAUUAUUCAGACAGAGAAUAUCUAGGCUACUCCUUGUUUAAACAUAUACGUCCA
ensembl:lncRNA